AUUGAACGCUGGCGGCAGGCCUAACACAUGCAAGUCGAGCGGCAGCGCGGGGCAACCUGGCGGCGAGCGGCGGACGGGUGAGUAACGCGUAGGAAUCUACCUGGUAGUGGGGGAUAGCCCGGGGAAACUCGGAUUAAUACCGCAUACGUCCCAAGGGAGAAAGUGGGGGAUCUUCGGACCUCACGCUAUCAGAAGAGCCUGCGUAGGAUUAGCUAGUUGGUAGGGUAAAGGCCUACCAAGGCGACGAUCCUUAACUGGUCUGAGAGGAUGAUCAGUCACACCGGAACUGAGACACGGUCCGGACUCCUACGGGAGGCAGCAGUGGGGAAUAUUGGACAAUGGGGGCAACCCUGAUCCAGCCAUGCCGCGUGUGUGAAGAAGGCCUUCGGGUUGUAAAGCACUUUAAGCAGGGAGGAAGGCACUAAAGUUAAUAACUUUGGUGAUUGACGUUACCUGCAGAAUAAGCACCGGCUAACUCCGUGCCAGCCGCCGCUGUAAGAC
rnacentral:rRNA from 1 species